AUAGCACUAUUCUAGUUAAGUUACAAAAUCUAGUUCUUUAAUUGUAUGUAGAUAAACAAAUCAGGCACUUUCAAAGAGGGGAAAAACGCUCAAGCUUAAUGCCUUUGCUGCAAAAUAUAAAUAACAAAAAUUACUAGCAAUAAAUACAUAUUGCUUCUAUUUGUAACCAAAAAAACAUAUUGCUUCUAUUUGCUUUUACUCGGCUAAAAACCUAAAGUAAAAAAAUGAUACUAACAAUUAAGAAUCCUUAAUUACAUUCCAUUUGCAUUUACUCCUCCAAAUUAAUAAAGAAAAUCAUUUGAACCUAUGAGAGAACGUGAAU
rnacentral:lncRNA from 1 species